GUAAAAACAGGAGAAGAAUGAAUGGAAAAGACCCUGUGAAUGAGGGGAAAAGACCCUGUGAUUUUCGAAUUAAAAGAGGGAAGGAUUGACUGGCCUUUUUUCUUAUUCUUUUACAAAUUUCAUUUAAAAACGCUGAUUAAAAGAGAUGCAAGCUGAGUUAUAAAUACCUAAACUUCUAAAAAUACAAAACACCCACGUCUCCAGACCCACCACACUUGUUUAAAACUCAUCUUUUGCAAAAACUGUCGUUUCCAGACCUCAUGUUCCAUCUUCUCUUUUGAUAAUGCGAUAUAAAUCUUUCUUUCUUCCAUUGCUAACUCCGAUCAACAGCAUUACUAACUCCGAUCACUUACUCCAACUUCUGUCAAGGCAUUACUAAGGUAAAUUUCUUUUUUCCUAUUCCUAGUCAUUUGUUAGAGAGUUUAGGGAGAAUACGACUGAAUUGAGUAUUUUAAAAACUGUUGUGGGGUUUCAAAGAAGGUUUCUCAGAUUGUGGGGAUCUUUUAGAGAGGUUUCUAUGGUUUGUAUAGGGUUUCAAAGAGGUGCUGACACAUCCAGUGUCAUUGUGGGAACAAAAUGCUGGACUUUGAGUAAAAGGUCAGUACAAAGACGGGUUGGGGAAUCUAAACAAGAUACACUGUCGCUAUUGACUUGACACUGGUGCAGUGUUAUAAUGCGAUUUACAUCUUUCUUUCUUCCAUUGCUAACUCCGAUCAACAGCAUUACUAACUCCGAUCACUUACUCCAACUUCUGUCAAGGCAUUACUAAGGUAAAUUUCUUUUUUCCUAUUCCUAGUCAUUUGUUAGAGAGUUUAG
rnacentral:lncRNA from 1 species